rnacentral:piRNA from 1 species
UCCUUUUGUCAAGCAAAAGUGGCUCCUAUUU